AGGGGACAUAGCGCGGAAUAACUGAGGGGAGGAUGGGGUAAACCGUAAGGAGGUGGAAACAGACGUGGAGACGGCGGAAUCUGAAUUAUUAGAUAUCUAUCGUGAUAUGACCCAAUAUUAUCAGAUAUUUACCACAGAAUACGGCCCCAUACAAUCAGAUAUUCACCACAGGUUACAGACCCAUAUUAUCAGAUAUUUACCACAGGAUA